GAUGAACGCUGGCGGCGUGCCUAACACAUGCAAGUCGAGCGAUCUUCUUCGGAAGAGAGCGGCGGACGGGUGAGUAACGCGUGGGUAACCUGCCCUGUACACACGGAUAACAUACCGAAAGGUAUGCUAAUACGGGAUAAUGUGCUUCUAUCGCAUGGUAGAGGUACCAAAGCUCCGGCGGUACAGGAUGGACCCGCGUCUGAUUAGCUAGUUGGUGAGGUAGAGGCUUACCAAGGCGACGAUCAGUAGCCGACCUGAGAGGGUGAUCGGCCACACUGGAACUGAGACACGGUCCAGACUCCUACGGGAGGCAGCAGUGGGGAAUAUUGCACAAUGGGCGAAAGCCUGAUGCAGCAACGCCGCGUGAGCGAUGAAGGCCUUCGGGUCGUAAAGCUCUGUCCUCAAGGAAGAUAAUGACGGUACUUGAGGAGGAAGCCCCGGCUAACUACGUG
rnacentral:rRNA from 1 species